UAAGGAAUCUUCCGCAAUGGGCGAAAGCCUGACGGAGCGACACCGCGUGGUGGAUGACGGCCUAUGGGUUGUAAACACCUUUUCUAUGGGAAGAAGAUCUGACGGUACCAUAGGAAUAAGCCCCGGCUAAUUACGUGCCAGCAGCCGCGGUAAUACGUAAGGGGCAAGCGUUACCCGGAAUUAUUGGGCGUAAAGCGUCCGCAGGCGGAUUGCCAAGUAGGUUAUUAAAUACCGGUGCUCAACAUCGGUGCUGUAAUCUAAACUGGUAAUCUAGAGGAUGGGAGAGGAGUGUAGAAUUCUACAAGUAGGGGUAAAAUCCGUAGAUAUGUAGAGGAAUACCAAAAGCGAAG
rnacentral:rRNA from 1 species